AUUAGAACACCUAUUUCACUCCGCUCGCUCCUUUAUGCUCUCGCUUGGUGUUCGCUAAAUACUACUCAUCCGGCCGUCGCCCCCUCGCUCGCUCACCAACUACUCACCCGGCUGUCGCCCUUAGCUCGCUCACUAGUGGCUCGCUCCUCUUCGCUCCAACUGACCACACCACGCAGUCAUGUCUGGAGGUCAUGCUGUAGCGAAAUUUUAUUUCAACUGCGAUCAUUGUGGAGUAGCCCUAUCUGAUGGGGCUUUUACAGCUACAAUUUCUUUUUAUUUCGUCAAUCAUUUUUCUUUUAGCAUUCUAGUUCUGUCUUUCUAUUGACAUCGUUUUCUUUUUUCUUUUUAUUUUUUAUCAGUGUGAUAAUAUGCUUUUUACGGAUGAAAGAUGUCAACGUCUACUUUGUGAGUCAUGCGCACGAUAUCACGAGAAUUACUUCAAUCAUGAUAUUUUUCAAGCACGUAAUCUCGAUUAUAUCAUUUCAACUGGUACGUUUGUUUGCACUUUUGAGGGAUGUGCCCGAGAUAUACCUGCACCACUGUAUAGUCAACAUCAGAGGAUGUGCCCGUACAAAAUACUUACGUGUCCAAUAUGUAAUGAUGGAUUUGCCUUGAUAUCACUGAGGUCACAUCUUCUGAGAGAACAUCAGUUCAACCAUUACCAGCUUAACUAUGGUUAUCUCAACACUGGUCAUAAUAUCUCCAAUGAUAGAGGGUGUGUUUUUAGCGGUAGAGAUGAAGACUUUGUGUUCUUCAUUGCAGGCGCAACCCUUUAUUUUGUA